UACGUAGGGUGCAAGCGUUGUCCGGAUUUAUUGGGCGUAAAGAGCUCGUAGGCGGUCUGUCGCGUCGGAUGUGAAAACCCAGGGCUCAACCCUGGGCCUGCAUUCGAUACGGGCAGACUAGAGUGUGGCAGGGGAGACUGGAAUUCCUGGUGUAGCGGUGAAAUGCGCAGAUAUCAGGAGGAACACCCGUGGCUAAGGCGGCUCUCUAGUACGGUACUGACGCUGAGACGCGAAAGCGUGGGGAGCGAACAGG
rnacentral:rRNA from 1 species